UACAGAGGGUGCGAGCGUUGUCCGGAAUCACUGGGCGUAAAGGGCGCGUAGGUGGCUUGGUCAGCGUGUGGUGAAAGUCCGGGGCUCAACCCCGGAUCUGCCAUGCGAACUGCCGAGCUCGAGCACUGUAGAGGCAGGUGGAAUUCCGGGUGUAGCGGUGGAAUGCGUAGAGAUCCGGAAGAACACCGGUGGCGAAGGCGGCCUGCUGGGCAGUUGCUGACACUGAGGCGCGACAGCGUGGGGAGCAAACAGGAUUAGAAACCCCCGUAGUCC
rnacentral:rRNA from 1 species